ensembl:scaRNA
GCUUUUAGCUUAUAACCCGACCCGGAUGUUCCUCAUGCUCAUAGUUUGAAUGGCUUGUGAGUGGGACGCGUGUGUGUGUGUGUGUUUGGUGACUUUUUGUGUGAGUAAAUGUGGCGUGUUUGUGUGUGAGUGAGUCUGUAUUUCUCUAAAAAUCUACACAGUGAUCUUAUUUGAUCUGGUCGGAGUUUGGCUCUACUCCGAUUGGAAAUGAUAGGAAAAGCGCCCGCGAGCCUCUAUGGCGAUGAGCAGCUGGCGAGAUGUUAACUAGGGCCUCCACGCUUUAAUGUUGUGGUCAGAGGUGAUGAAUUGAUCAGAUAUACUAGUUCUGGGUGAGUUUGGGUUCAUCCCAAGCUUCACAAUGGACAAUGAGUAAAGAGGCGAUUCUGAUCUAA